rnacentral:rRNA from 1 species
GACGAACGCUGGCGGCGUGCCUAAUACAUGCAAGUCGAACGCUUCUUUCCUCCCGAGUGCUUGCACUCAAUUGGAAAGAGGAGUUGCGGACGGGUGAGUAACACGUGGGUAACCUACCCAUCAUAGGGGGAUAACACUUGGAAACAGGAGCUAAUACCGCAUAACAGUUUAUGCCGCAAGGCAUAAGAGUGAAAGGCGCUUUCGGGUGUCGUUGAUGGAUGGACCCGCGGUGCAUUAGCUAGUUGGUGAGGUAACGGCUCACCAAGGCCACGAUGCAUAGCCGACCUGAGAGGGUGAUCGGCCACACUGGGACUGAGACACGGCCCAGACUCCUGCGGGAGGCAGCAGUAGGGAAUCUUCGGCAAUGGACGAAAGUCUGACCGAGCAACGCCGCGUGAGUGAAGAAGGUUUUCGGAUCGUAAAACUCUGUUGUUAGAGAAGAACAAGGACGUUAGUAACUGAACGUCCCCUGACGGUAUCUAACCAGAAAGCCACGGCUAACUACGUG